rnacentral:misc_RNA from 1 species
CUCUUGCUGCUCGAUGAAGUGCUGACGGGUCUCACGCCGAGCGAAGCGGCGGCGGGCGUCGAUCUGAUCCGCAAGGUGAGGGAGACCGGUGUCACCGUCGUGAUGGUCGAACACGUCAUGGAGGUGGUGAUGCCGCUGGUGGACCGCGCCGUGGUACUUCAUCUCGGCAAGGUGCUGGCGGAAGGUCUUCCGAAGGAAGUCGUGCGCGACGAGAAGGUGAUCGCGGCCUAUCUGGGGGAUCGUCACCGUGUUGCUUGAUGUCGCGAACCUCACCAC